AAUCAUGGUUAAGGAACUCGGCAAAAUGCCCCCGUAACUUCGGGAGAAGGGGGGCCUGAGCUUUGAAGCCCCUUCGCGGGCUAGGAGCAAGGGUCGCAGAGAACAGGGGGGAGCGACUGUUUACUAAAAACACAGGUCCGUGCGAAGCCGUAAGGCGAUGUAUACGGACUGACGCCUGCCCGGUGCUGGAAGGUCAAGAGGAUCCGUCAGCCCCUUUCCGGGGUGAAGCGGUGAGUUCAAGCCCCAGUAAACGGCGGUGGUAACUAUAACCAUCCUAAGGUAGCGAAAUUCCUUGUCGGGUAAGUUCCGACCUGCACGAAUGGCGUAACGACUUCUCCGCUGUCUCAACCAUGAACUCGGUGAAAUUGCAGUACGAGUAAAGAUGCUCGUUUCGCGCAGCAGGACGGAAAGACCCCGUGACCUUUACUAUAGUUUGGUAUUGGUGUUUGGGUUGGCUUGUGUAGGAUAGGUGGGAGACUGUGAAGCUGUCACGCUAGUGGUGGUGGAGUCGUUGUUGAAAUACCACUCUGGUCAAUCUGGAUGUCUAACUUCGGGCCAUGAUCUGGUUCAGGGACAGUGCCUGAUGGGUAGUUUAACUGGGGCGGUUGCCUCCUAAAGUGUAACGGAGGCGCCCAAAGGUUCCCUCAGCCUGGUUGGCAAUCAGGUGUUGAGUGUAAGUGCACAAGGGAGCUUGACUGUGAGAGUGGCGACUCGAGCAGGGACGAAAGUCGGGACUAGUGAUCCGGCAGUGGCUUGUGGAAGCGCUGUCGCUCAACGGAUAAAAGGUACCUCGGGGAUAACAGGCUGAUCUUGCCCAAGAGUCCAUAUCGACGGCAUGGUUUGGCACCUCGAUGUCGGCUCGUCGCAUCCUGGGGCUGGAGUCGGUCCCAAGGGUUGGGCUGUUCGCCCAUUAAAGCGGUACGCGAGCUGGGUUCAGAACGUCGUGAGACAGUUCGGUCCCUAUCCGCUGCGCGCGUUGGAGAAUUGAGAAAGGCUGUCCUUAGUACGAGAGGACCGGGACGGACGAACCUCUGGUAUGUCAGUUGUACCGCCAGGUGCAUGGCUGAUUGGCUACGUUCGGGAGGGAUAACCGCUGAA
rnacentral:rRNA from 1 species